UUUCCGUAGGUGAACCUGCGGAAGGAUCAUUAACACUGGGGACAGAUGGGACUGGGAGUCGGGUGUAUGCCUGCUCACAUCCCACUGUCAACUACAAACCAACCGCGAACAUGUUCUAACUUCACCCUCAUGUCUCACAUGAGGUUCACAGCAUGGGGCCGCGUCUGAAGGGCUUCGUCUCUUCAUUCACUUGCUGUAGUUCUUGGUCACUCGUGAUCCGGGGCUGCUGUCGAGGGCUUCAUCGCGCUUUUUUCUCUCUUCAACCACACCCUAACGAACUGUACUGACAAAAUGCUCUCGGUUUCACUUCGGUGCGAUCUGGUCGAGCUCGUUUGAGCUAAUCACUCAAAUGUCAUAACACAAAUACAACUCUUAACAACGGAUAUCUCGGCUGAU
rnacentral:misc_RNA from 1 species